GGAGCCAGAAGAGGAGCGCUGCCCAGGCAGCCCAAGGGAGGACGCCAGCGUCCGGUGAACUUGGGUCAGGGGGAGCAGCGCCGAGACGAGUGAGGAGACUGGUAACCUCAACGUCGGCUGCGGGGGCUGAAUCCCCCGGGUUGUCAUCGGUAGUGAUCAUCCCCCACCGCGCCCUGUCAGGGGCGGUACGGGAUGGGCUCUGCAGGUGGAGUGCUUCUGGCCGG
rnacentral:ncRNA from 2 species